GAUGAACGCUGGCGGCGUGCCUAAUACAUGCAGGUCGAGCGAACAGAUGAGGAGCUUGCUCCUCUGACGUUAGCGGCGGACGGGUGAGUAACACGUGGAUAACCUACCUAUAAGACUGGGAUAACUUCGGGAAACCGGAGCUAAUACCGGAUAAUAUAUUGAACCGCAUGGUUCAAUAGUGAAAGACGGUUUUGCUGUCACUUAUAGAUGGAUCCGCGCCGCAUUAGCUAGUUGGUAAGGUAACGGCUUACCAAGGCAACGAUGCGUAGCCGACCUGAGAGGGUGAUCGGCCACACUGGAACUGAGACACGGUCCAGACUCCUACGGGAGGCAGCAGUAGGGAAUCUUCCGCAAUGGGCGAAAGCCUGACGGAGCAACGCCGCGUGAGUGAUGAAGGUCUUCGGAUCGUAAAACUCUGUUAUUAGGGAAGAACAAAUGCGUAAGUAACUAUGCACGUCUUGACGGUACCUAAUCAGAAAGCCACGGCUAACUACGUG
rnacentral:rRNA from 1 species